AACGCACAUUGCGCCCCUUGGUAUUCUGAGGGGCAUGCCUGUUCGAGCGUCCUUACACCACUCAAGCUAUGCUUGGUAUUGGGUGCCGUCCUUAGUUGGGCGCGCCUUAAAGACCUCGGCGAGGCCUCACCGGCUUUAGGCGUAGUAGAAUUUAUUCGAACGUCUGUCAAAGGAGAGGACUUCUGCCGACUGAAACCUUUAUUUUUCUAGGUUGACCUCGGAUCAGGUAGGGAUACCCGCUGAACUUAA
rnacentral:misc_RNA from 1 species